GGGGUAAACUAAAUUUCCCUGUCUCCUGAAAAAUAAUAAAAAUUUACCUGUUAGUGAAGAGGCUAACAUUAUUCUAAAAGACAAGAAGACCCUAUAGAGCUUCCCGUAACCCUUAUUUAUAAGGCCUACCGGUUUUGUUGGGGCGACAGGGGAGAAAAAUUAACCUCCCUCUAACAAAGGCCUAUAAGCCUAUUUCUCUACCCUUAAAUAAGGAUAAAAAAAAGCUACCUUAGGGAUAACAGGCUAAUUCUCCCUAAGAGUUCUAAUCGACGGGAGAGAUUGGCACCUCGAUGUUGGCUUAAGGUUCCUUUAUUGCGCAGAAGUAAUAUUAGGUGGUUUGUUCAACCAUUAAAUCCUU
rnacentral:rRNA from 1 species